CAACUACUCCCUCUUUCCCAAAUUUAUUGUCUUAGAUUUGUCUAGAUACGGAUGUAUCUAAUACUAAAAUGUGACUUGAUACAUCCGUAUCUAGACAAAUCUAAGACAAGAAUUUUGGGACGGAGGGAGUACUUU
rfam:Triticum aestivum genome assembly, contig: Triticum_aestivum_CS42_TGACv1_scaffold_592281_7BS